rnacentral:misc_RNA from 1 species
ACACCUCAACUCUCAUGGUCUGCCAUGAUGAGCUUGGACUUUGGGGGUCUUGCCGGCGUAACCGUCGGCUCCUCUCAAAUGAAUCAGCUUGCCAGUGUUUGGUGGCGUCACAGGUGUGAUAACUAUCUACGCUUGUGAUCUUCCAUCAGGUUACCUUCAGUAAUGGGGGUUCGCUGGAGCUCACAGAUGUGUCUCUCCUCAGGGAGGACAGCUUUUUAAU